rnacentral:rRNA from 1 species
AGCAAGGUAUUAACUUACUAGCCUUCCUCCCCACUGAAAGUGCUUUACAACCCUCAGGCCUUCUUCACACACGCGGCAUUGCUGGAUCAGGGUUGCCCCCAUUGUCCAAUAUUCCCCA